rnacentral:lncRNA from 1 species
CUCCCUGAGCCCAAAAUCUGAGCAAGCCCUGGUCAAACCCGAGCAAACCCUGAGCAAACCAGGAGUAAACCCAGAGGAAACCCCGAGCAAAUGGGGAGCAAACGGAUUUACUGGAGAACUUCUGGAUUUUAUUGGAUCUCUUGGAGGGUUUAUUGGAUCUCCUGCAGGAUUUAUUGAAUAAAUUUUAUAUUUUAUUGGAUCUCCUGCAGGAUUUAUUGGAUCUCUUGCAGGAUUUAUUGGAUCUCCUGCAGGAUUUAUUGAAUCUCUUGCAGGAUUUAUUGAAUCUCUUGUAGGAUUUAUUGAAGAACUUCUAGAUUUUAUUGGAUCUCCUGUAGGAUUUAUUGGAUCUCUUGAAGGAUUUAUUGAAAAACUUUUAGAUUUUAUUGGAUCUCUUGCAGGAUUUAUUUUAGAACUUUUAUAUUUUGUUGGAUCUCUUGGAUUUAUUGGAUCUCCGGCACGAUUUAUUGGAGGUCCUGCAGGAUUUAUUGGAUCUCUGGCAGGAUUUAUU